AUACGUAGGUGACAAGCGUUAUCCGGAUUUACUGGGCGUAAAGGGCGUGUAGGCGGUCUUGCAAGUCAGAAGUGAAAUUCCUGAGCUCAACUCGGGCGCUGCUUCUGAAACUGCAGGACUUGAGUGCUGGAGGGGAUAGCGGAAUUCCUAGUGGAGCGGUAAAAUGCGCAGAUAUCAGGAGGAACACCGGUGGCGAAGGCGGCUUACUGGGCUUUUACUGACGCUGAGGCUCGAAAGCGUGGGGAGCAAACAGGAUUAGAUACCCUGGUAGUCCACGCUGUAAACGAUGAUUACUAGGUGUGGGGGGACUGACCCCUUCCGCGCCGCAGUUAACACAAUAAGUAUUCCGCCUGGGGAGUACGGCCGCAAGGUUGAAACUCAAAUGAAUUGACGGGG
rnacentral:rRNA from 1 species